rnacentral:rRNA from 1 species
GACGAACCGUGCGAACGUUAUUCGGAAUCACUGGGCUUAAAGCGCGUGUAGGCGGGGCGGCACGUCGGUCGCUGAAAGCCCCCGGCUCAACCGGGGAACGGGCGCCGAUACGACCGCCCUCGAGGGACGUAGGGGGACCUGGAACUUCCGGUGGAGCGGUGAAAUGCGUUGAGAUCGGAAGGAACACCCAAGGCGAAAGCACUCUGCUGGGCCGACACUGACACUGAGAGACGAAAGCUAGGGGAGCAAAUGGG